ensembl:lncRNA
UGGUGAACCAGCAGAGAGGGUGAGCUGCACUGACACAAGCAAGAGGCUCCGUGGCUGCAGCUCGUGGAGGAAUUGCUGGGUUCUGCCGCAUGGGAUGCGCUGCUGCCCUGAGCCGCGCCACAGAGCACUGAGGUGAGCCAAGAAGCAUUGAAGAUGGUGUGUGCUCUGAUGUGUGGCACAUCAAUCAGGCAGCUCCAGGCUACUGUUUACAUGAAGAUACUUUCUGGAUUUAUCCUGAACGAGAAGUGGAAUUGUUGAGUUAAUGCCCAGGAAGCAGCCCUUCUCCCCAGUGCUACACCCUGCAGCCCAGGAGGCCUUCACACACACGAUUACAGAGUCCUGCCUGUCACCACCUAAAUGGGAACUGUUUUUUAACAACGCCAGGAGAAAACACUGUGUUUCUUUAAAAC